rnacentral:lncRNA from 1 species
CCCGUUACAAAGUAAAAAUAGAUGAUUUAUAGCGGAUAACAAAAUCAAACGGGCCGAAUAACUAAACCUACAUAAUGGUCCAAAUGACUAAGAAACUAGCAACCCUAUUAACUAAAAACAGACCAAUUUAACCAAUUUAACUAAGGAAAUUCGUGAAUAAAACUAAGUCAAACCAAGACUGGCGUCCAAUUUAAGACCCAUCAUAUGACCCGUCAUAUUCUAGUUCGUAUUUAGCUUGCAGAGCCACAAACGUGGGCGGUGAUCAUCGAACCCGAUACAACUAAACAUUGCCAGACAUCAAUCUAGGGAAUAACUAAGAAACACAAACAACUAAGAAACAACUAAAUUGGACAGCAAACUUGAUCCGUGCUUCAUUGAACCCGCGAACCAUCUUCUCCACGAAUUAGGUGGAUCCAUCCUCAACAUCUUCAAUGUAACUUCCACACGAUCAUCAUCCUUAAAUAGUUUCCGGAUUCAUAUCAAUAUAUAUCCGGCAACCACAUUAGUGGUAUCCGGCAAAAAAAAGGAUGCAAAAAAGCCAACUAUACCCUGUCAAAAUUCAUCUCCGAAACAUUUAAGAGUGAAGUUAAACAGGCUCACAAACAAAUCAGAAUACAUAUAUGCGCUUUCUAUCUCAUGUAAGCCCUUACAACUUGUAUCUGGUCCCCAAGUGUUCAGAAUACAUCCAAGUUGUGCUAUAUCAACUAUGGAUAGUAUCCAUUGGAUACUUUUUGGAGUUGCUACCAUUUCUACUGAUCCUCAAUGGCAGGUUUGACAGAUAGUAUUGCAAAGGAAACUACUCCGCAUUUUGGGUCAGAUCCAUUUCAGCUAUCCAUUUACCUCUACUAAUAAGGUGCCAACUGAACUGGUAUUUACGUCUCUCAAAUGGUGGUAUAUGAAAAUGUGGCAUAAAAGACUAUCACUAGCAAUUUUUUGAUAUUUUGAUUUACCUUUAGCGAUGUC